GAUGAACGCUGGCGGCGUGCCUAAUACAUGCAAGUCGAGCGAACGGACGAGAAGCUUGCUUCUCUGAUGUUAGCGGCGGACGGGUGAGUAACACGUGGAUAACCUACCUAUAAGACUGGGAUAACUUCGGGAAACCGUAGCUAAUACCGUAUAAUAUUUUGAACCGCAUGGUUCAAAAGUGAAAGACGGUCUUUCUGUCACUUAUAGCUGGAUCCGCGCUGCAUUAGCUAGUUGGUAAGGUAACGGCUUACCAAGGCAACGAUGCAUAGCCGACGUGAGAGGGUGAUCGGCCACACUGGAAGUGAGACACGGACCAGACUACGAAGGGAGGCAGCAGAAGGGAAUAUGCCGCAAUGGGCGAAAGCAUGACGGAGCAAAGCCGCGUGAGUGAUGAAGGUCUUCGGAUCGUAAAACUCUGUUAUUAGGGAAGAAAAUAUGUGUAAGUAAAUGUGCACAUAUUGACGGUAACUAAUCAGAAAGCAACGGCUAACUACGUG
rnacentral:rRNA from 1 species